UCAGAGGGUUAACACGUUAGUUAAUCAGGAAAUUCAUCAGUCGACAGUCCACAGCAUUUCUUCAAUCCUGAGAAGAGAAUAUAAGAAUUGGAAUUCUUCAUUGCAUUGAGAAGCAACACGUGGAGGGGAACAAUUGCGGUAAGGAAUUAUCGUCUACGUUGUUCGAGUACGGCUGUGGCGAGCUGUUGCGGCUGAUGCACUUUGAGGGCAUUUGUCACGUCCACCAAGUCAAGCAACAUGCAUUAGCGAUCAACUCUUGAUGUUUGUGAAGAUAACCUGCCGCUGUUUCUUGAAGUCAAGAAAUAGUGCACGUUCUGCAAACUGGAGGACAGAUUGUUGACAACGGAUCCUAAUCUUCAAAAACAUCGAGUAGAGACGCUGACUGCUUACCCAGAUUUGUGUCGUCUGGCGUAAUUAUGACGAGCAGAAUGAAACACAGAAAAGAGAAAUUAUCAGGUGAUGUCGAUUCAAGUUUGCGAUAGUUGUUAAUUUUUAGGUUUAAGUAAGUUGUAAAUAAUUAUUUCGUAAUUUGAAGAAGCGAUUUCGUGUUUUCUGUAGAGUUGCCACAGGAUGUGCAGUAUUUUCUUCAAAGUUAAAUGCAAAUUUCCAAAUCAAUAUUUUUUUUCCUUUCGGUUGUUCAGUAGAGUUUAGAAUAUUACUUUCAAUGGAGUCUUCAUCUCACAAAAACGUACGAGCUACCAUAGAGUCGAAAUAUUCUGUAAAUUGUUAAAUAAAGUCAUCCAAAUCGUCAUGUAAUGAAAUCGCUUCUUUUUCUUCAGUAUUAUUAUUAUUACCCUUAAAUUGUUA